rnacentral:rRNA from 1 species
ACUUUCAACAAUGGAUCUCUCGGCUUGCACAUCGAUGAAGAACGCAGCGAAUCGCGAUAUGUAAUGUGAUCUGCAUUUAGUGAAUCAUCGAAUCUUUGAACGCAUCUUGCGCCCAAGGGUACUCCCUUGGGCACGUCUGUUUCAGUGUUAUGUUCAACCCUCUCCUAAAGAUUGGGUGAUGAAAAGUUGGGCUGCCUCGGUCAUUUUUUUGAUGGAGGUCUGCUCUGAAUGAAUCCAGAAAAAAGUCCUUGCUUUAGCAUCAUUGACUUUGGUAGUUUACCAGAGGUUGGUUUUGCUGGGCAAAUCUAGUGGUUUUUUCUACUCUUUCUCAAAAUUUAACCUGAAAUCAGACGGGACUACCCGCUGAACUUAAGCAUAUCAAUAAGCGGAGGAAAAGAAAAUAACAAUGAUUCCCCUAGUAACGGCGAGUGAAGAGGGAAAAGCUCAAGUUUGGAAGCUUCGUGGCAUAGCUACGACGCAUUGUAAACUGAAGUUUUGUGGCAACUGGACAACCGGGUUAAUAAGUCCCUUGGAAUGGGGCAACAUGGAGGGUGAUAUUCCCGUCUUUGGCUUGAGUUUGUGCAGUUAUUACCAUGGAAACGACGAGUCAGGUUGUUUGGGAAUGCAGCCUAAAAUGGGAGGUAAAUCUCUCCUAAAGCUAAAUAUUGGUGCAAGACCGAUAGCGAACAAGUACCGUGAGGGAAAGAUGAAAAGGACUUUGAAAAGAGGGUCAAAAAGUACGUGAAAUUGUUGAAAGGGAACCGUAUAAAAGUAGACCGCAUUGUGAUGAUCAAUGGGAGCUUCGGUUUUCAUGCACUCAUCACGAUUGCCAGCCAGCAGCAGUUUUUUUCAAAGGAAGAAAACCGGGGGAAUGUAGCCUUGGCCUUCGGGCGGAGGUGUUAUAGCCCUCGGUAAAAAACUUUGGGGGAGACUGAGGCUUGCAGUGGGUUUCUGGGAAAGCUAGUUGCUUGCGAUGUUGUUGUAAAGUUUCUUUCGGGUGCUUUGCAGCAGCGUUGUAACUCUUCUGGUUCUUCACCCUCUCACUUUGGUUGCUGGCGUAAUGCUUUUAUAUGACCCGUCUUGAAACACGGACCAAGGAGUCCACGUAUGGAGCGAGUCGUUGGGUGGCAAACCCAUAGGCGAAGUGAAAGCAAUUGGGAAGAAGCUGUCAAAGGUGGCAUUCCCGGGGGGACAUGACGUUUUAACUGAAAAGACCUCACCCAAAGCUCCAUGCAUGGGACCCGAAAGAUGGUGAACUAUACUUGAAUAGGGUGAAGCCAGAGGAAACUCUGGUGGAGGCUCGUAGCGAUUCUGACGUGCAAAUCGAUCGUCAAAUUUGAGUAUAGGGGCGAAAGACUAAUCGAACCAUCUGGUAGCUGGUUCCUGCCGAAGUUUCCCUCAGGAUAGCAGAAGCUUUUUGGUAGUUUUAUGGGGUAAAGCGAAUGAUUAGAGGCCUAGGGGGCGCAAUGCCCUUUACCUAUUCUCAAACUUUAAAUAUGUAAGAUGAGUUCAUGCUUAAUUGAUGUUCCUCUUUCGAAUACACAGCUUCUAGUGGGCCAUUUUUGGUAAGCAGAACUGGCGAUGCGGGAUGAACCGAACGCAAAGUUAAAGAGCCGGAAUACACGCUCAUGAGAUACCAGAAAAGGUGUUAGUUCAUCUAGACAGCAGGACGGUGGCCAUGGAAGUCGGAAUCCGCUAAGGAGUGUGUAACAACUCACCUGCCGAAUGAACUAGCCCUGAAAAUGGAUGGCGCUCAAGCGUGUUUCUUAUACUUUGCCCAUGAGGUUAUAUGGAUGCUUCAUGGAGUAGGCAGGCGUGGAGGGUUAGUGUAGAAGGCUAAGGUGUGAACCUGGCUGGAACACCCUCUAGUGCAGAUCUUGGUGGUAGUAGCAAAUAUUCAAAUGAGAACUUUGAAGACUGAAGUGGAGAAAGGUUCCUAGGGAACAGCAGUUGGCCUAGGGUGAGUCGCUCCUAAGAUGUAGGGAAGCUCUGUCAAUGCUGGGCAAUUUUUUGCCCCACACAUCGAAAGGGAAAUUGGUUAAUAUUCCAAUACUGCGAUAAGGAAUCGAGGUGGCAACACAACAGAACUUGGGGACAGAAGCAUGAAGCCUAGGAAGAGUUAUCUUUUCUUAUUGA